rnacentral:rRNA from 1 species
GACGAACGCUGGCGGCGUGCCUAAUACAUGCAAGUUGAGCGCUGAAGGUUGGUACUUGUACCAACUGGAUGAGCAGCGAACGGGUGAGUAACGCGUGGGGAAUCUGCCUUUGAGCGGGGGACAACAUUUGGAAACGAAUGCUAAUACCGCAUAAAAACUUUAAACACAAGUUUUAAGUUUGAAAGAUGCAACUGCAUCACUCAAAGAUGAUCCCGCGUUGUAUUAGCUAGUUGGUGAGGUAAAGGCUCACCAAGGCGAUGAUACAUAGCCGACCUGAGAGGGUGAUCGGCCACAUUGGGACUGAGACACGGCCCAAACUCCUACGGGAGGCAGCAGUAGGGAAUCUUCGGCAAUGGACGAAAGUCUGACCGAGCAACGCCGCGUGAGUGAAGAAGGUUUUCGGACCGUAAAACUCUGUUGGUAGAGAAGAACGUUGGUGAGAGUGGAAAGCUCAUCAAGUGACGGUAACUACCCAGAAAGGGACGGCUAACUACGUG